CAUGAAGUUCGGAUUGGCUGGUCACUA
rnacentral:piRNA from 1 species